UCAAGGGUUCGAUACCUUUUCAUUAUAACUGAUAAAUAAGAGAGCAACAAAUGAAAGCUACCUUCAUAGUUAGUAAAAUACCAAACGGGUAUAGUAUAUGAAAAAUACGUAUUAUUCGGCAACUUUCUUUAAAAUAUCUUUUGAAAACUUCGGCCAUUUUUAUUAAAUUUUAAUAUUUUUUUUUUGUUUUUUCAAUAAUAAUUUAAAAAUACAUGAAUUUUAUGUGUAGUAUUGAAAAAGUGUCUAACAACGUGUAUUAAACGUGAAAAAUAUGUUGGACUUUUAACAUGCAAUUUCUUGAAUCAUUAAGACAAUGUAUGAAAAAUGAAGUAUUCUUAAAAAAUACGAACCUACUUGUAUAAUACGUGAAUUUACUGAAGCCUUUCCACGGGGCUUGAGCCAGUGUUAAUAGAGUGCAUAUGCUGACAACGGGUUUGGGUGUGAAAGCGUGGUGAAAUUAUUGUAAUGCUGCAUUAUGAUGAUGUUAAUGCUAGUAGCCGGAGAAAAAGGAUACAGAGACUUUCAUCCAGCUUCGGCGCAAGGUUUUGAAAACGCGUUGUCAAAUGUUACGAGUGCAAGAAGAUUGGCAUUACUGAUUAUAUCAGCAUUAUGUGUAUUAAUUAACAUAUGAGUGCAAGAAGGUUUUCAAACCUCUUGAUUACACAUCUUUAGAUUAUCAUCUGAGAAGUUAAAUUUACACUUAUUCCCUGAGCUUGUAGCAAUAUCAUUUACUUCCUGCAAACGAUUCCAUUCCCACUGAAGGAAUUACCGGUGCAGUCAAGAUUUCCGUAAUUCAUCACCCUUGAAUCUGUUUGAUCCAUCUUCCUGGAUUUAGUGAAAACACAAGCAGUGCAAUCUACGGAGACCAGUGAAGUUGUUCUGUACUUGUGUUCCCCUCCCACAACUGGCAUCGCUACUCCUGGCUUUGCCGGGUUCCUGAAAUCUGGCUGGCACCACAUUUACUGAAAUUUCAGCAACUUCCUGGAGAGUGACCAAAACACUGUUCUUGCUAGAUGUUCUCUCUACUCUAAUGGCAUUUUCCGGAGAUUGCCAUGCGGAGAGUUGGGAUUCUGGGAUGACUAGCUCCUCUCCAUUGUAAGUAAAUUUUAAGUGGUCUGUUUCAUCAUCCCAUGACGAUGCUUGGCUGGCCUCUACGGAGAAGCUAUUAGAGCCAAAGAGGAGUCCAAGGGCCUGAAUCCAAGUGUAGUCCCUGGUUCAGCCUUCAGGGCGGAGACCAAUGAACAGGGCGUUGAUUUGGAGGUUGGGGUCAGAAACUAAGCUGAAAUACUCAUUUUUCUUCCCGUGGAAGUAAAAGACAAUGCCAUCUCCACCGAUGAAGCGAGGGUCCAUGCAUGCUGAUCCGGGGCCUUCACAAUUAGGUUUGCGACCUACGAUUACCAGCAACAACAAACAAAAACCCUUGUCAGCAUCGGCAAUGAUUUUAACCGAGGCACGUACGUUCGAAACAAAAUAAAAAUUGGAGUGCAUUGUUGAAGAAUGCAAUCUCACAUCAGAUGAUUGACGGAAUAUAUUACUACUUAUAAAUGAAUAGUUCCGCUACUAUAUCGAGGCCUUUUGUGAGUUGCAGAUAGUUAAGUUGGGACAAUAUUGAUGUAAUUAGCGGUGGAUUGCAUGCCCAACUCUGAAAUGUUAACAUGCAUGAGAUAACAUUAUGAACACAUGACAGUAAGUCGUAACCUUACCUUUGCACUCAGCUUUGCAUAUAGGUGAGUCACAGUUGAGAUAGCAAAUUUUAGCCUUUUUGUCUAUCGGUGAAGGAUGGGUAUUCCGCAGGGCAGUAUACCUGCUUGAGAAAGCACGGGCUUUUCUUGCUGUAGCAAACCUUAAGAUCUGUCUCACUUUGUACCAGAACAGAAGCAGAUACAAGGAUUACCAGAACGAUCAAAACACUUUUGCUGCCUAAGAA